ACGGAAGGCAGCAGUGGGGAAUAUUGCACAAUGGGGGAAACCCUGAUGCAGCGACGCCGCGUGAGUGAAGAAGUAUUUCGGUAUGUAAAGCUCUAUCAGCAGGGAAGAAAACAAUGACGGUACCUGACUAAGAAGCCCCGGCUAACUACGUGCCAGCAGCCGCGGUAAUACGUAGGGGGCAAGCGUUAUCCGGAUUUACUGGGUGUAAAGGGAGCGUAGACGGUGAGGCAAGUCUGAAGUGAAAGCCCGGGGCUCAACCCCGGGACUGCUUUGGAAACUGUCUGACUAGAGUGCAGGAGAGGUAAGUGGAAUUCCUAGUGUAGCGGUGAAAUGCGUAGAUAUUAGGAGGAACACCAGUGGCGAAGGCGGCUUUCUGGACUGUAACUGACGCUGAGGUACGAAAGUGUGGGGAGCAAACAGGAUUAGAUACCCUGGUA
rnacentral:rRNA from 1 species